GGAACUAAUGAUUGGUUUGGCCGUUGCAGCAGGGGGUUCAAAUUGAUUGACGGACGUAGCUCCACUAUACUCCUGAACACUUCUGGACAGGUACGCGCUGUGCAGCACGCGAAACACUGGUAAGCUUUAGAUUUUGUAUUAAUAUUGUUUCUUCUUUAAGACCAGUCUUCUGUGGCUGCAGUGCCGAGUCCGCCGACGGAGUCUCUGCUUAUCGGCGGCUUCAUGCCCGUGUAGCGUCGGACAGCCGAGCAAUGAACAGCAUCUGCAAGAUAUUGGAUUCCUGGUAAACAGAAAACAAUUGACUGAGG
ensembl:lncRNA